rnacentral:rRNA from 1 species
GGUGCAGUAGGUUGGUCGUGCCACCGGUACGUACUGGUCUCACUGAUUCCUCCUUCCUGAAGAACCGUAAUGCCAUUAAUUUGGUGUUGCGGGGAAACAGGACUGUUACUUUGAAAAAAUUAGAGUGUUUAAAGCAAGCUAACGCUUGAAUACAUUAGCAUGGAAUAAUGAAAUAGGACGAUCGAUCCUAUUUUGUUGGUUUCUAGGAUUGACGUA